UGCAACAAGCUGUAGCUCAUGGGUAUAACGAAAGUAUGAUUUUGAAUAUGUGGAAUAGGAUUGCGAAAGAGUAUAACAACGUUCAAGAUAAUGAUAGAAACAGGCCUGAUGCAGCAGAUCAACAGGAGAAGAAACAUUAUAGUGUAGAUAUAAAUCCAAUCACACUGAAAUACAAAAAGAAACUAGGAAGAACCUCAGGUGCGAGAAUGUUUUUAAGUAGGAGAAAUAUGUUGUUUAAUCUGUUGAGAAACGACAAAGUUGAGCAUGACCGAGACUCUCUUCCAGGAGUUUGAGACACCAUUAUUAGACAAUGAAUUAAACCAGAAUUUUAGAUACAUUGGGUAUACGGCCAGAUCGCUGAAGAGACAAUUGGGUGAGCAUAAGAAGGAUGUUGAAAGUUCUGUCUCCACCACAGCAUUAGCGCAAAGAGCA
rnacentral:lncRNA from 1 species